rnacentral:misc_RNA from 1 species
GAUGAAGAACGCAGCGAAAUGCGAUAAGUAAUGUGAAUUGCAGAAUUCAGUGAAUCAUCGAAUCUUUGAACGCACAUUGCGCCCGCCAGUAUUCUGGCGGGCAUGCCUGUUCGAGCGUCAUUACAAACCUCAGGCCCCCGGGCCUGGCGUUGGGGAUCGGCGGAGCCCCCCGUGGGCACACGCCGUCCCCCAAAUACAGUGGCGGUCCCGCCGCAGCUUCCAUCGCGUAGUAGCUAACACCUCGCGACUGGAGAGCGGCGCGGCCACGCCGUAAAACACCCAACUCUUCUGAAGUUGACCUCGAAUCAGGUAGGAAUACCCGCUGAACUUAAGCAUAUCAAUAAGCGGAGGA